GUUCAUUGGACUGUGAAAUUUGGGUCAAAAUAUAAUUUGGCAUUUAAAUUAGAAAGAUCAUAUAAUACAUGUAAUAGGAAACAUGUGUUCUAAGUUUCAAAUUGAUUGGAAUUCAACUCCAUCAAAAUCUACCUUGACCAAAAACUUUAACUUGAAGUGGAGUAGAGGACCAAAUGAAAGCACAGACCAGAAAACACAAUGCCACUCUACUAUAACAGGUGGGGCAUAU
rnacentral:lncRNA from 1 species